rnacentral:rRNA from 1 species
UGUCCAGACUCCUACGGGAGGCAGCAGUGAGGAAUAUUGGUCAAUGGGCUUACGCCUGAACCAGCCAAGUCGCGUGAGGGAAGACUGCCCUAUGGGUUGUAAACCUCUUUUGUCAGGGAGCAAUUGGCGCUACGUGUAGCGUUAUCGAGAGUACCUGAAGAAAAAGCAUCGGCUAACUCCGUGCCAGCAGCCGCGGUAAUACGGAGGAUGCGAGCGUUAUCCGGAUUUAUUGGGUUUAAAGGGUGCGUAGGCGGUCCGUUAAGUCAGCGGUAAAAUUGCGGGGCUCAACCCUGUCGAGCCGUUGAAACUGGCAGACUUGAGUUGGCGAGAAGUACGCGGAAUGCGCGGUGUAGCGGUGAAAUGCAUAGAUAUCACGCAGAACCCCGAUUGCGAAGGCAGCAUACCGGCGCCCUACUGACGCUGAGGCACGAAAGUGCGGGUAUCGAACAGGAUUAGAUACCCGAGUAGU